rnacentral:rRNA from 1 species
UACGUAGGGUGCAAGCGUUGUCCGGAAUUAUUGGGCGUAAAGGGCUCGUAGGCGGUUUGUCGCGUCGGGAGUGAAAACCAGGUGCUUAACACCUGGCUUGCUUUCGAUACGGGCAGACUAGAGGUAUGCAGGGGAGAACGGAAUUCCUGGUGUAGCGGUGAAAUGCGCGAUAUCAGGAGGAACACCGGUGGCGAAGGCGGUUCUCUGGGCAUGACCUGACGCUGAGGAGCGAAAGUGUGGGGAGCGAACAGG